rnacentral:hammerhead_ribozyme from 1 species
AUCCAGAUGACGAGUCCAAAAUAGGACGAAAUGCGCAUUAUUCUGGAU